rnacentral:rRNA from 1 species
GGCGAGCGUUAUCCGGAUUUAUUGGGCGUAAAGAGUGCGUAGGCGGUCAAACAAGUUUUCCGUUAAAGCCCGGGGCUCAACUCCGGAAAUGCGGGAAAUACUGUUUGGCUGGAGGAAGGCAGGGGCUGUCGGAACUUGGGGAGGAGGGGUGAAAUCCUGUGAUCCCCCACGGAACACCGAAGGCGAAGGCAGACAGCUGGGCCUUUCCUGACGCUAAGGCACGAAAGCUAGGGGGGCAAAACGGAUUAGAUACCCGUGUAGUCCUAGCCGUAAACGAUCCUCGCUAGAUUUUGGGCAUUGCUCAGAGUCGAAGCUAACGCAUUAAGCGAGGCGCCUGGGGAUUACGGCCGCAAGGCUAAAACUCAAAGGAAUUGACGGGGACCCGCACAAGCGGUGGAGCGUGUGGUUUAAUUCGAUGAUAACCGAAGAACCUCACCAGGGCUUGACAUGCAGGUGGUAGUGAACCGAAAGGGGAACGACCCGCAAGGAAGCCUGCACAGGUGUUGCAUGGCUGUCGUCAGCUCGUGCCGUGAGGUGUAUGCUUAAGUGCCGAAACGAGCGCAACCCCUACUCUAUGUUAGAAAUGUCAUAGGGAACUGCCUCCGUAAGGGGGAGGAAGGUGGGGACGACGUCAAGUCAGUAUGGCCCUUAUGCCCUGGGCGACACACACGCUACAAUGGCGGCUACAGAGGGUUGCAAUGUGUAACGCGGAGCUAUCUCUUAAAAGCCGUCUCAGUUCGGAUUGGGUCUGCAACUCGACCCCAUGAAGUCGGAAUCGCUAGUAAUGCCCGGUCAGCUAUAC